rnacentral:rRNA from 1 species
AUUUAAUUGAAGAGUUUGAUCAUGGCUCAGAUUGAACGCUGGCGGCAGCCCUUAUACAUGCAAGUCGAACGAGAAAGUUUCUUCGGAAGCGAGUAAAGUGGCGGACGGGUGAGUAACGCGUAGGAAUCUACCUUUCAGUGGGGGAUAGCUCGAGGAAACUCGAAUUAAUACCGCAUACACCCUUAGGGGGAAAGGGGGCCUCUCCUUGGAAGCUCUCGCUGUUAGAUGAGCCUGCGUGAGAUUAGUUUGUUGGUAAGGUAAUGGCUUACCAAGACUACGAUCUCUAGCUGGUCUGAGAGGACGAUCAGCCACACUGGGACUGAGACACGGCCCAGACUCCUACGGGAGGCAGCAGUAGGGAAUAUUGGACAAUGGGGGCAACCCUGAUCCAGCUAU